rnacentral:rRNA from 1 species
GACGAACGCUGGCGGCGUGCCUAAUACAUGCAAGUCGAACGCUUCUUUUUCAUCGAACUUCGGUUCACCGAAAAGAAGAGUGGCGAACGGGUGAGUAACACGUGGGUAACCUACCCAUCAGCGGGGGAUAACACUUGGAAACAGGUGCUAAUACCGCAUAAUCUUUUUCUCCGCCUGGAGAGAAAGUGAAAGGCGCUUUUGCGUCACUGAUGGAUGGACCCGCGCUGCAUUAGCUAGUUGGUGAGGUAACGGCUCACCAAGGCCACGAUGCAUAGCCGACCUGAGAGGGUGAUCGGCCACACUGGGACUGAGACACGGCCCAG